rnacentral:tRNA from 9 species
GGAGCUGUGCCUGAAGUAAAGGGCCACUUUGAUAGAGUGAAUUAUGGGGGUUAAAGUCCCCCCACCUCCU